rnacentral:misc_RNA from 1 species
UGUGAUGAUCGUAAGGGCUGGACAAAUUUUACAUUGUUGCCAGCUUGAAACGUGACAGAUCAAUGAAGACUUUUUGCAGUUGGAAUAAACUAUAGAAGAAUCAUUGAAAAUGUGAUGCAUUCAUUCAUGCCAGCUAAGGAAGAACCGAGGCGCAACAAAUUGGCCAUGCAUAUCAUGCAAAGAGAAACAAAAAUUUGAAGAAGUCAGAAUUGUAAUGUCAUCUUUUGAUUGUUUUAGUUGCUUGUAUUGAUGCAUUUUUGGCUAUUUGUUGUCCAAACAUAUCAUGUGAAAUACACUAUUCAGUUUG